rnacentral:ncRNA from 1 species
AAAAAGUUUAAUUCUGGUUUAGAGGUUUACUAAAUUUUUUAUUUACAUGUAAAUUAAAGUGAGAAUGAAAAGUUAGUUUAAAUAGUUAAUUUUGGUAGUUUUAUUCGCAGUAUAAAAAUUUAAAAAUUUAAGAAAUUAAGAAUUAUGAAUAAAUUUUAAUAUUAACAAAAUUUGUGCCAGCAGUUGCGGUUAUACAAAAAAUGUAAGUAAGUUUUAUUAGUAAAUAAUAAGAUGUUUUUUUUUAAUAAAAAUUAGAUUUAUAUGGUGAAAUAUAAAAUUUAAAAUAUUUAUUAAUAAAUUUAUUGAAAUUAUGAAAUUUAAUUUUUAAACUAGGAUUAGAUACCCUAUUAUUUUAAAUAUAAAUAAAUUAUACUUAAUUAGUAGUAGUUAUGUUCUUUAAAUUUAAAGAUUUUGGCGGUGUUUUAGUCUAUUCAGAGGAACCUGUUCUGUAAUUGAUAGUCCACGAUAAAUUAUACUUAAUUUAUAAAUUUGUAUAUCGUCGUUAUUAAAUAUUUUAUAAGAAUUUUAAUGUUUAAGAUUUUAUAUUAAAUAAUAUAUCAGAUCAAGGUGCAGUUAAUAAUUAAGAAGAAAUGGGUUACAUUAAAUUUAUUUACUAUGGAAUUAUAUAUGAAAAUUUGUAAUGAAGGUGGAUUUGAUAGUAAUGGAAUUUAUAUAAAUUUUGUGAUUUUAGCUCUAAGAUGUGUACAUAUCGCCCGUCGCUUUUAUUAUAAGAUAAAAUAAGUCGUAACAAAGUAGAUGUACUGGAAAGUGUAUCUAGAAUGA